rnacentral:lncRNA from 1 species
UUUCACUAAUAUUUAUUCAUAAAAUCGAUGUAAUAAAAAAAUAGAAACUAGUUAUUUUACAUACACGAUAAUUUAUUGGGAUAUUCUUUACCUAAAUACUAAAUACUCGAUUCGAUAUCACACAUAAUUCUAUCAUUACCAAGGAACUCUAUAAAUAACUUGUGAGUAGAAGAACCAAAAUGCAUAAAAUCUUAUUUGGCUUCUAUUAUGGUAAAGUAGAUUAGAUUAUUAUUUAUGCUAUUCUAUAAACUAAUUAUAUUUUUUUCUUACUUGUAGAUGUUCUCGGCAAAAGCGUUAUAUUGGAGACUGGGGAGAUGCAAAUGCCUGAGAUGAACAACAAGCCAAUAAAUAAGCUUAGUUCCGAAUUAAGAUAUUAAAAGUGAGUUCAAUAUACUUAAGUAUUUGUAAUCCGAUUUAUUUUCAUUUAAUGAUACUAAACUAAUUUAUACUUUUAUGUAUGGUAAUGAGAGACAGAGAAUGAUUGUCGUGUAUACCUUGCAGGUGCGUUUGCUUAAUUGGUUUUUUUUUCGGGUAGCUGAAUUAUGGUAAACUGUUUGAUCAAGUUAGGAACUUACUAACAAGGACAGAAGAACAAAACCAACCUCAAAACCAUCGACACUAUUCUUUCUUUUUCAUUAACCAUCGACACUAUUCUUCUGCAAAU